CCAGCAGCACUGCUCUGUGCUCUGGGGACGUGCCAUGCUGUCACCACGCUCAGGUGUGCAGAGCCAGCUGCCAUCCAUGCUGUCAUAUCAGAAAAAAUUCAGAAUUAAAGCCACAUCAAGCCCAAGCUCAGAGAGAGUAAUUUGUGGUGUCCACAUUGAGCCCCCAGUUUAUGGCAUUAUUGCUCAGGGACUGUAAACAGGCAUCCUUCUGUGGCAGCAGCUGUUACCUGCAAACCAGCCUUCUUCUGCUAUGGAUUUUUGCCCUGGUGGGCUUAGAUAAAUAUCGUUCAAAUCAUGGAGUCUGAUUCGUGAGUCAGGACCAUGGCAGCCCUCCAAAACCUCCUGCCCAUGGAGUGUGUUUGUGUGAGAGGGAGAGAGAGUUUCACUGCAUGAAGAGUAAGAAACUGGAAGCCAAGUGAAUUAAAUACAAAGCAGAUAAUUAUGUGUAAUUCAUUUACUGACUAAUGAUUGCACCUUGGUAUGGAGGUUCAUGAAUUCAUUUGACUCUGCAAGGUUCUCAAGAACAAUCUCCCUGCUACAAGAUAAGAGCUGGCUGACUUGUUAACAGACCAGUGUUUACAUUAGUGUUAUUGUAAGAUUCUGCCUUUUUGGCUCAUUUCACAUUUUACCUCACGGCCAUUCACUUUUCCUGGGUCCAUCUGGUGUCUCUGACAGUUUCAAUAGCUCAGUGCUGGUCAAGGCUGGCUGUCACUGCAGACUGAAGGCAUCAUCUGCUCCUGGG